UAGGGAAUUUUGCGCAAUGGGCGAAAGCCUGACGCAGCAACACCGCGUGAGUGAUGACGCCCUUCGGGGUGUAAAACUCUGUCAGUGGGGACGAAAAUUGACGGUACCCACAGAGGAAGCAUCGGCUAACUACGUGCCAGCAGCCGCGGUAAGACGUAGGAUGCAAGCGUUGUCCGGAAUUAUUGGGCGUAAAGAGUUCGUAGGCGGUUUAUUAAGUCUGGUGUUAAAGCCCGAAGCUCAACUUCGGAUCGGCGCCGGAUACUGAUAGACUAGAGUACGGUAGAGGCAAGGGGAAUUCCUGGUGUAGCGGUGAAAUGCGUAGAUAUCAGGAGGAACACCGGUGGCGAAAGCGCCUUGCUGGGCCGAAACUGACGCUGAGGAACGAAAGCCGGGGGAGCAAAUGGG
rnacentral:rRNA from 1 species